CGGCGUGCACGGCGGCGGAGUCAUGGCGGCUCGCUGAGGCUGGUUCUCACACAUGGGCUGAGGGGGCGCCGGCAGCGCCUGUCAGUCAGCGCGGGGGUCGCGAGCCGGCAGCGGUGGGGAGCGGGGCGGGGGCGGCGGGACCAUGCUCGCGCUGGAGCGCUCCCUGCUGAGGGGCUUCGUCAGCGCGGCGGAGUCCCUGGAGUGGAAGCAGGGCGAAGUCGCGGCGGCAGAAAGUGGAUCAUUAUUACAAUUGAUUUUGGAUGGGAAAUACGAGGCAAUAUUUUCAAAUUCAGCUAUCCAGAAUGUUUUCAGUGCAUCAUCUGUGACAGAGGAGAACAUCGACAGUUACUUGGAGAAACAGAUUCUAGCAUACCUGGACUGCUCUGCAGAGGUCGAUAACGUGGAAAGGCAGAGGCUGAUAUUUCUACUUGGUGUGGGCAGUUUGCAGCUCUUUGUUCAAAGCAAUUGGACCGGGCCUCCUGUUCAGUUAAAGCUUCAUGACUGUUUGCCACCUGCAUUGUUACAGAAAUUCUGUGAGCCAAAAAUGCUGCAUGCAGCUAUUCUGAAGAUGCUGGUUCUAGAUGGUGAAUCAGUCUAUACCUUGACUUCUCAUCCUAUUCUGCUGCUUAUAGCCAGGAUAAUCCUGGUGAAUUUGAGACACAAGCUUGCAUCUCUUCAGACAGUAUAUUGGUGGACUCUAAGGUAUGUGAAUAUUCACCAGCAGUUGUUAGAGGAGAGAUCACCUGAGUUAUUUACUCUUGCCCAGACCUGUAUAAAACAAGUGACAGAAGCAGAAACUUUGUUCACAGGCGGUGAAAGCUGGCACUUAGCAGUUCAGUUCCAUCUUGAGUGCGCCUAUACGUUUUUGUAUUACUAUGAGUAUAAAAAAGCUAAACAGUGUUUCAAUAUGGCUAAAGACAUAACGAAACUGCAGAUUAAUCUCACAGGUGCUUUGGGGAAGAGAACACGAUUUCAAGAAAAAUAUGUUGCACAGCUUAUUUUGGAUGUCCAAAGAACAGAUGAAUUCCUCCUUCCUCACAGUGAACUAAGUCCAGCUCCAACACCUCUAGAAAACUUAACAAUGAAUUAUGAUUUAAAUGAUGAUACGUUGCUUAAUGAGAUAAAGUUAGCAGAUGCUGAUCAGUACCAAGUACCAGAUUUGUGUGCAGAAGAGCUUGCUGUAAUCCUUGGAAUAUGUAUAGACCUUCAAAAGAACAACCCAAUACACAAAUUAACUGAAGAGGAACUUCUGGCUUUUACUUCAUGCUUGCUCUCUCAGCCAAAGUUCUGGGCCAUUCAGACGUCAGCCUUACUUCUUCGGACCAAGCUUGAAAAAGGAAGUACUCGCAGGAUGGAACGGGCAAUGAAGCAGACUCAGGCACUUGCAGAUCAGUUUGAAGAUGUAAAUACGUCAGUAUCUGAACGCAUGAAGAUUUUCUACUGCUGUCAGGUGCCUCCACAUUGGGCCAUACAGCGUCAGCUUGCAAGCUUACUCUUUGAGCUGGGAUGCAUCAGCUCUGCCUUACAGAUAUUUGAGGAGCUGGAAAUGUGGAAAGAUGCAGUAAUCUGCUAUGAAAGAGCAGGACAGCAUGGAAAGGCGGAAGAAAUACUCAGGCGGGAGUUAGAGAAAAAGGAAACACCAGGAUUAUAUUGUUUGCUUGGUGAUGUACUUAAAGACCAUCAGUAUUAUGACAAGGCCUGGGAGCUCUCGAGGCACCGCAGUGCCCGCGCCCAGCGCUCCAAAGGCCUCCUCCACCUCCGCAACCGGGAAUUCAGAGAAUGUGUGGAGUGCUUUGAACGUUCAGUGCAGAUCAACCCUAUGCAGCUAGGUGUAUGGUUUUCCUUGGGCUGCGCAUACAUUGCUUUAGAAGGCUAUGAAGGUGCUGCCAAAGCAUUUCAGCGCUGUGUGACAUUGGAACCAGAUAAUGCUGAGGCCUGGAACAAUUUGUCGACUGCUUAUAUCAGAUUAAAACAGAAAAUCAAAGCAUUUCGAACCCUUCAAGAAGCUCUCAAGUGCAACUAUGAACACUGGCAAAUAUGGGAGAACUAUCUUCUCACCAGUACAGAUGUUGGAGAGUUCUCAGAAGCAAUUAAAGCUUACCAUCGGCUCAUGGACUUAAGAGAAAAGUACAAGGAUACACAGGUGCUGGGUAUUCUGGUCAGAGCAGUAGUGAAUGGUAUGGCAGAUCGCACUGGAGAAGUAGCCAGUGGAUUAAAGGGGAAAUUGCAAGAGCUCUUCGGCAGAGUGACUUCACGAGUGACAAAUGAUGGGGAGAUCUGGAGGCUUUAUGCCCAGCUUUAUGGAAAUGGGCAGAAUGAUAGUGGUGAAGAUAUUGAAAAGUCACUGCAGUGUCUCACUAAGGCACAUAAAUGUGAAAUUCAAUCAAGUGAUUGGGAGAAAGAUGUAUCUUCUUUUAAAGAAGUGGUGAAAGGAGCCAUAGAGAUUGCACAGGUGGCUAUAAAAUGCAGCAAGAACAAAUCUAAUCAUCAAGAGGCUUUGCAGAUACUUUCUUCAGCUCGGCUCAACUUACGUGGCUUGUCAUCCAAAGCGAAGGUUUUGGAGAAAAUGAUGCAACAGAACAUGACACUGGGAAAAAUGGCCAUUAAACCUCACAACUACUAAUUUAUCAGCAGGUGGGUUUGUAAAUUGCAGUGACAGUAUGUGAGAUGCUCUUCUAAUUUGAGUUUCAUAGUAAACUCCUUUACUUUCAAUGGCAUCAGGAGUCAGCCCAGGCAGUCAGGCCAGAGCAGAAACCCAGCAUCCACAGGAGGAGGAUUCGGCCCCUUUGGCAAAAUUCCAGCAACUUUUUGUAGAUGUAACAAGUAAUGAAGUUCACAGUGAGAUAGCUGAUGAGGUGACAACUAUGGACAACGUGAUUGCUGAACUUCAGGAACUGAGCAACCAGCUGAGAGACCAGUGCUGACAUAUGGGCCAGAUUUUGUGACAGGAAGAUGAUAAUGACACAUUUCUUUUGCCACAGCUUUUGCUGAUGAAAUGGUAACAAUUCUUAUGCAACAAUACUCUCAAUAAACAUUUUUCUGUACACUG